ensembl:lncRNA
CUAAAAUGUAAAAGAAUUUACAAAAAAGAAGGUUUUUUUUUUUUUUUUUUUAAAAAAGAUCACAAGUAGUGGAUAAUGCAGUUUAUUUCUGUGACAGUCUCUACAGCACUGACACCGUACGUCCCAUCAGUCCAACCAAGGUGUUUGAAUUUUCAUCCAUCCUCUGGAUGUUCUGGAGCAUAGCAGUGGUCAGGUCUUGGUCUCUGGAUGUUCUGGAGCAUGGCAGAGGUCAGGUCUUGGUCUCUGGAUGUUCUGGAGCAUGGCAGUGGUCAGGUCUUGGUCUCUGGAUGUUCUGGAGCAUGGCAGUGGUCAGGUCUUGGUCUCUGGAUGUUCUGGAGCAUGGCAGUGGUCAGGUCUUGGUCUCUGGAUGUUCUGGAGCAUGGCAGUGGUCAGGUCUUGGUCUCUGGAUGUUCUGGAGCAUGGCAGAGGUCAGGUCUUGGUCUCUGGAUGUUCUGGAGCAUGGCAGUGGUCAGGUCUUGGUCUCUGGAUGUUCUGGAGCAUGGCAGAGGUCAGGUCUUGGUCUCUGGAUGUUCUGGAGCAUGGCAGAGGUCAGGUCUUGGUGUCUCCUCAACUGUUCCUCUGACCUCUCCAGAUACUGCAGCAGAUCCACAGUAGCAUCCCGCUUCCUUUUUCCUGCAUAAAAGCACCCAAAAAGGUAUUAGUUGUUAGUAAUUACUUUCUAUAUUCAUAAACACAGUUAAAGUAAAUGUUCUGUUUUGUGAUUUUAGGAUGGGC